ACUGCGAGUGAAGAGGGAAGAGCUCAUCAUUGGAAUCUGGCAGUGUUACACUGUCCGAGUUGUAGAUGAGGAGUAGUCCGUCUGGACUGCAUGGCGUCCAAGUACAAUAGGCCGUCAGUGGGACAUCAUAGAGGGUGACAAUCCCGUCCUUGACGCCAAUGUGCAAGUCUAUUACGAUGGCUAUCUCAGAGAGUCGAGCAGUUUGGGAUUUGCUGCUUAAACAUGGGAGGUAGAUUCCUUCUAAAGCUAAAUACAGGCGAGAGACCGAUAGAGAACAAGUACCGCAAGGGAAAGAUGAAAUAGCACUCUGUGAAGGGAGUCAAAAGGCGUGAAAUUGUUGCGAGAGAAGCGAUUCAAGUCAGCGUAGCUAGGCCCAUCAAGCGUCUUCGCUUUGGACUAGCUUUGCCAGCGGUCUUGUCCCUUAAAGAGACUUGACUUGUAAUAUGUCCAGCCUGGCGUGCACAGGCAGCCCCUUCUGGGGGCCAGUGGCAUGGCUGGUGGAAUGGCUUGCAAUCGACCCGUCUUGAAACACGGACCAAGGAGUCUAACAUGUAUGCGAGUAUAAGGGUGGCAAACCCGUAUGCGCAAUGAAAGUGAUUUUCGGUGAUUGAGAAUGGCCUGAUGACCAGACAAGCAAUAUAUGUCCCUCGUACGGCCAUUGCCCAAGUUCCGUGGUAGAUCCCACGAACAUGGAGUUGGAGCAUACAUGCUAGGACCCGAAAGAUGGUGAACUAUGCCUGGACAAAGCGAAGCCAAAGGAAACUCUGGUGGAGGCUUGUAGCGAUUCUGACGUGCAAAUCGAUCGUCUGAUCUGGGUAUAGG
rnacentral:rRNA from 1 species